rnacentral:lncRNA from 1 species
GGCUUCUUGAUCCUAUGUGUUGUAUUGAGUGUUGGUCACUGGUCUUUGGGAAGCUUGGACAGAAGUGGGGCAGCCAUGGAGCUGCUGACUGGGACUGGCCUGUGGCCCGUGGUCAUAGUCACAGUCAUCUUCAUAUUACUGGUGGACAUGUUGCACCGGUGCCAGCGCUGGACUUCUUGCUGCCCACCAGACCCUGUGCCAUGGCCUGUGCUGGGUAACCUGCUGCAGGUGGACCUGGAUAACAUGCCAUAUAACUUGUACAAGCUUCACAACCGCUAUGGUGACGUGUUCAGCCUGCAGAUGGGCUGGAACCACAUGGCCGUGAUCAACGGACUGAAGGUGAUACAGGAAGUGUUGGUGACCUGUGGAGAGGACACUGCUGACCGCCCUGAAAUGCCCAUCUUUCCACACCUAGGCUAUGGGCAAAAAGCUAAAGGCAAAGGCUGUGUGGGGGCAGAGAUGGCAUCAAAGCCAGACAAGGGGGGACAGUGAGCAAAGGAAGGUCAGAUCAUGAUGCAGGUGGUAAUGUAGUUAAGCAUUGCAGCAGAAAGUCACAGAAAUCCAUUGUGGAGCCUCCUGAGCAUGGUGGAGGGUGGUAGAGACAUGUACUGGAGGAAGGGUGAGGUAUGGAGGACACCGACAAAGAAGAGAAAUGAAGGUGGGAGGGGGCACCAAAGCCAGGUGUCCUUGGUUUUACACAGAUGUGUCUGCAGGUGUGGUCCUUGCUCCUUAUGGGCCUGAGUGGAAAGAGCAGAGGUGAUUCUCUGCGUCGACCCUGUGCAACUUCAGCCUGGGCAAGAAAUCACUGGAGCAGUGGGUGAUGGAAGAGGUUGGACACCUCUUUGAUGUCUUCACUGCCCAUGCUGAGGAGGCUGUAGACAAGAGAUUUGGAAAGAACACAUCUAGAAGUGUCCACCACAGUAAUAGGAGCCUGGAGAUUGACAUACAGCAAAAGGAAGUGAGAAGCUGACCAAGGUCAGGGCUUCUAGAAGCUGAGACCCUGGCCCUCUGCCCACAUGGAACAUCUGUGAGAUUUUCCAGGGUUGGCUGACAAAGUCUUCCCUGGGCAAAAGACAUUUCUCAUAAUGGUGGAUAAGCUGGUGACUGAGCACAAGAGGACCUGGAACUCGGACCAGCCGCCUCGAGACCUGACUGAUGCCUUUAUGGCUGAGAUGGAGAAGGCAAAGGGAAACCCUGAGAGUAGCUUCAAUGAUGCAAAUCUAUGUCUGGUUGUCCUUGACCUGCUGGGUGCUGCAACUGUGACCACCUCAACCACACUGUCCUGGGCCCUGCUGCUUAUGAUCCUGCAUCCGGAUGUGCAGUGUGAGCCUGGCUGGGGCUGUCAAGAAAGGAGGAGGAGGGUAGAGGCAAACUCCUUAAACUUACUUGGGACACUUGUAGAUCCCAGCAUUGAGUUAACCCAGACUGCAGUAAGUAUGGUUGCCUUAUUUCUCCCAUGGACCCAGCCCUUAACAGAGAGGUAGUGGAUGGACAAGGGGCACCCACUGAAGCAUCUUAACUGAUGGGAAAAUGUCCUUCCAGGCCAAGUACAACAGGAAAUCGAUGAGGUCAUUUGGUAUGUGUGGCUUCCAGAGAUGGCAGACCAGGUCUGCAUGCCCUUCACCAAUGCUGUCAUUCAUGAGGGCAUGACUCUCAUCUCCAACCUGUUCCGUGCUGAAGGAUGAGACUGUCUGGGAGAAGCCCCUUCGCUUCCAUCCUGAACACUUCCUGGAUGCCCAGGGCCACUUUGUGAAGCCUGAGGCCUUCAUGCCAUUCUCAGCAGGCCACAGAUCAUGCCUGGGGGAGCCCCUGGCCCUCAUGGAGCUCUUCCUCUUCUUCACCUGCCUCCUGCAGCGCUUUAGCUUCUCAAUGCCAGCUGGACAAUCCCUUCCCAGUGAUUAUGGCAUCUAUACAAUGCCAGUUACUCCAGCACCUACCAGCUCUGUGCAGUGGUUUGCUAGCAGGGGCAGUGGCUCCAGCCAUCAUCACAGAUUGUUCUGACUGAUGUCCAAUAAACAAGUUUUGUGUCUGAAUCUCA